AUCCAGCUGACGAGUCCCAAAUAGGACGAAACGAGCGUCAUAUUGGAU
rfam:Schistosoma rodhaini strain Burundi genome assembly, scaffold: SROB_scaffold0000055